rnacentral:snRNA from 1 species
GUCCCUCCGGGGACAUCCGAUAAAAUUGGAACGAUACAAAGAAGAUUAGCAUGGCCCCUGCGCAAGGAUGACAAAUUUACUAAUUUGAUUUUAU